GCAGUAGCCACGGUAAUACGGAGGGGGCUAGCGUUGUUCGGAAUUACUGGGCGUAAAGCGCACGUAGGCGGCUUGGUAAGUUAGAGGUGAAAGCCCGGAGCUCAACUCCGGAAUUGCCUUUAAGACUGCCGAGCUAGUAGGUGAGAGAGGUAAGUGGAAUUCCGCGUGUAGCAGUGAAAUGCGUAGAUAUGCGGAGGAACACCGAUGGCGAAGGCAGCCCCCUGGGCCAACACUGACGCUCAUGCACGAAAGCGUGGGGAGCAAACAGGAUUAGAUACCCCAGUAGUCCCUGUCUCUUAUAC
rnacentral:rRNA from 1 species